AGCUUGUGUUCAAUUUCUUUGUCUAAAUAAGUUAAUAUUUGCAUUAUGCACUAUUUUAUUGAUUUGGUGUGCUGUAAUAAGUAUAUGCUUGUGCUAUCUUUUAGCUAGUUACAAGCUAAUUUGCCAUAUCAUGAAAUGUGCUGUCAUGAAUGGAUUAUGCUAUGCGUUUAUGUCCUCUUUUUUACAGUUUACUGACAUUUAGUUUCCUGGCAGAUGAAGAAAGGCAAUGUCAAGUUGAUAACUGAAAUGUUGUGAUGAUUAAUUAUAUGUAUAGGGUGCACUUCAUGUAUCAUUGGUGGAAGCAGUUAGGCCUUACACGAUCUUGCGCACUAGUCCAUACUGCAAGAGGAUAUUCUCUAGAAGCCUACUUAAGAAGUGGCUGCUCUUGUUCCUAAAGGGGAGCUUGAUGGUGAAAUAGGGGAUGCACACAUGGCAAUGCAGGCUAGGUUGAUGAGCCAGGCCCUUCAGAAAUUAAGCCAUUCCUUGUCAGUUUCUCAAUGUAUGUUGAUUUUUAUAAACCAGGGUCACGACUUCUGUGGGCAAAAAAAGAGAAGGAAAAGGCACCAAACACCUUGCAACUGAGAAACAAAGAAGAGAACAACUGAAUGGCAAAUACAAAAUCCUGAGGAGUCUUAUCCCAAGCCCCACAAAGAUGGAUAGAGCCUCUGUGGUGGGUGAUGUCAAUGAAUACAUAAGGGAGCUGCUCAAAAUGGUUAAUGAGCUCAAAUUACUGGUGGAGAAGAAAAGAUGUUAAAGGGAAAGAUGCAAAAGGCAGAAAGCGAAAGAUGAUGCUACAGAGAGCUGUAACAUAAAGUCUUUCAGCAAUCCAGAUAGAUGCAUAAGGACCUCAUGGCUUCAAAGGAAAUUGAAAGAUAGCGAGGUUGAUGUGCAGAUUGCUGAUGAUGAUGUUACAAUCAAACUCUUCCAGAGGAAGAAGGUUAACUGUCUGCUUUCAGUCGCUAAGUUUCUGGAUGAACUUCAGUUGGAACUUCACCAUGUUGCAGGUGGACAUGUUGGCAAAUAAUACAGUUCCUUGUUCAAUACCAAGAUAAUAGAAGGUUCUUCAGUCUAUGCCAGGGCUAUAGCCAACAGUGUGAUUGAUGUUAUGGACACUCAGUAUGCAGCAGCAGUUCCACAUACAGGUAGCUAUUAGGUUAAGGGGAUAAUAGUUUCAAGUUUAGGCACUGCACCAAAGUUCAAGUAACUAGUUACAUGUACGAAAAUAAGAAAAGAGAGUCAACUGUCUUUAUUGCAAAUUAUGAUCCGUCGAGGUUAUUGAGUAACCUAAGCAGUCUCUAUGCUAAUACUUCUCAAAGUAAUAGUUAUUAGAUAUGAUUUGCUUAAUUAUUUGUAUAAGAAUUAUUACUUUUGAUUUUUAAUACAAAAACUAUAUAUUAUGUUUGAUA